UGGCCUAGAGGUCGUUUGGAAGACUACCCGCCUCUUAAGCGGAAGGUCCCGGUUCGAGUCCGGGUGGGCCAA
rnacentral:tRNA from 1 species